AUAACAUGAUGGGAAGCGCUUAGCUUCCCGUGUAUGAUUGAACCCUUAUUGCUGAUCCCGCCUGGUUCGGAAAAGCGCUUUGGGUUCAUUUUUAU
rfam:Klebsiella sp. RIT-PI-d NODE_1_length_2264346_cov_38.3847_ID_1, whole genome shotgun sequence.